rnacentral:pre_miRNA from 1 species
ACACAUAUGCCAAGGUGACAUGCUACUCUACAUGUGACCUCAACAUAUGUGUUU